rnacentral:misc_RNA from 1 species
AAAAAAAAAAAAAAAAAAAAAAUAUACUGAAGAAAUAUUGAUUGUACGUCUUAAUUCAUCGACAUACAUCCAACAAUAACGUGAAGCUACGACACAAGUACAAAAAAAAAUAUAGAUGUGUGCAUGAGUGAGAGAGAGAGAGAGAGAGAGAGAGGAGAGGAAGGACUUGGGAGAACUGCAAAUUAUACACCAAAAGACACAACUGUGAUGCAAAAAUGGCUAACACAACUCAGAAAAACCACCAUCUCCUUUGCCGACGACCCUUUUUAUCCUUAUUCUGUGAUUGUAUUACAAUAGGCUGGGAAAGGACCCCAUUAUUGAUGUUCUGAAUGUAUGGCCGCACCUUCUCCUCCAAAAUCUCAUUCAACUUUUCCUCGCGCCAUUUAGUUUCCCACUGUGCAUCCAAGAUUUUAUCAGCAAUUUUUCUUUGUGCAUUCAGAAGAACAGUCAUCUCAUAGAAUUUUUCUGGAUUUUUAAGAUCUUCCUCACUCCAGGAUGAUGCAUUCAAUGGAAGGUCCAGCUCGCCCCAAUUUUGUGGUCGUGGUGGAGGGUCAAAUUUCAUGACCUCUACCUCUAGUGCCUUUUUGGCCUUGUAGUAUGGGAUAUUUUUCACAAUCACAGGAUCUUCUCUGGCACGGACAGGAUCUAUAGAUAUCAAGGCUUCCUGCAAGUGCUCCCACCCUGGUUUUCGCUUUGCUACCAAAUCUCGUAGUUGAUCAUAUCGCACAGAUUCCUUGUACUGCCACCAAAUUUUUUGCUUUACAUCAUCAUCAUAGUUGAAUCCACCCACAAUUUGAGGUAAGGAAAAUAACCAAAAAGCAGCAAUACUGGGAUCUUUCAUACUGUCUACUAUAUGCUCAUAAGGAUAGUCCAUCUUUCUCAAGACGUUAUAGGCUUUCCAUGGAGGUUCCAUAAUAUCAUCUGCAGAUAUCCUGACUUGUAAUUUGUCUUUGCAUUCAGGACAGCCCAUCACACCCGUUCCAUCACAAGUUGGACAGUCUUUAGAUGGCAAAGGAAUAUUAAGAUCCACAGUGGAUGGAAGGUGCACCAACUCCACUCGGUUGUCAGCAAUAGCAUCUGCUACACAUUCAGCCGUUGCCUUCUCUCCACUCCUCAAGGUGUAAUUUUUCACUUGGUAAUGCACUUUCCCUGAUCCUUUGCACAUAUUACACCGCAAUGCCUGCCACCCAUUGCAAGUCCGACAAUUCCUUUGACAUAUCACCUUCUUUCCCAGCUCCAAAGCAAUAUCGUAGGUUCCAAGCGUAGCAACAGCAAAGACAGAAAGAUAAGAGAGCUUGGAUAUGAGCUCAGGGACACCAAAGCCGCGAGGAGCAGAGCCAGCAAUGUCAAAGGCAAGAGUGAAAGGAGACAAGACCACCUUAAUUGGGAACUCGAAAAUGUCAAUCAAUUGCUNNNNNAUGUGCUUGUAUUGCCUGUCUGCGAACUGCUUCACAUUCUUUAUGAGACGUUCUGUUCCUCUUGACAUGGCUGAGGCCUACGCCGACGGAAGAGACGACAGGAG